GUGCUCACUUGGGCAGCACAUAUACUAAAAUUGGAACAAUACAGAGAUUAGCAUGGCCCCUGUGCAAGGAUGACCUGCAAAUUUGUGACGCAUUCAUUCCAUAUUUUU
rfam:Pteropus alecto contig62649, whole genome shotgun sequence.